rnacentral:rRNA from 1 species
CGCGUAGGUGGCCUGGUCAGUUCGUGGUGAAAGCGCGGGGCUCAACCCCGCGUCGGCCAUGAAUACUGCGAGGCUGGAGCACUGUAGAGGCAGGCGGAAUUCCGGGUGUAGCGGUGGAAUGCGUAGAGAUCCGGAAGAACACCGGUGGCGAAGGCGGCCUGCUGGGCAGUUGCUGACACUGAGGCGCGACAGCGGUGGGGGAGACAAACGA